AAUGGCAAAUGAUGAAGAAAAUCUUAUCCUACAUACUGAAGUUCCUGUGUGGACUAUAUAACUCCGCUUAUUAUCUGAUGCCAAU